rnacentral:rRNA from 1 species
CUGGCGGCGUGUCUAAUACAUGCAAGUCGAACGCACUCUCGUUUAGAUUGAAGGAGCUUGCUCCUGAUUGAUAAACAUUUGAGUGAGUGGCGGACGGGUGAGUAACACGUGGGUAACCUGCCCUAAAGUGGGGGAUAACAUUUGGAAACAGAUGCUAAUACCGCAUAAAACCUAACACCGCAUGGUGUAGGGUUGAAAGAUGGUUUCGGCUAUCACUUUAGGAUGGACCCGCGGUGCAUUAGUUAGUUGGUGAGGUAAAGGCUCACCAAGACCGUGAUGCAUAGCCGACCUGAGAGGGUAAUCGGCCACACUGGGACUGAGACACGGCCCAGACUCCUACGGAGGCAGCAGUAGGGAAUCUUCCACAAUGGACGAAAGUCUGAUGGAGCAACGCCGCGUGAGUGAAGAAGGUUUUCGGAUCGUAAAACUCUGUUGUUGGAGAAGAAUGUAUCUGAUAGUAACUGAUCAGGUAGUGACGGUAUCCAACCAGAAAGCCACGGCUAACUACGUG